GAUGAACGCUGGCGGCGUGCCUAAUACAUGCAAGUCGAGCGAACGGACGAGAAGCUUGCUUCUCUGAUGUUAGCGGCGGACGGGUGAGUAACACGUGGAUAACCUACCUAUAAGACUGGGAUAACUUCGGGAAACCGGAGCUAAUACCGGAUGAUAUUUUGAACCGCAUGGUUCAAAGGUGAAAGACGGUCUUGCUGUCACUUAUAGAUGGAUCCGCGCUGCAUUAGCUAGUUGGUAAGGUAACGGCUUACCAAGGCAACGAUGCAUAGCCGACCUGAGAGGGUGAUCGGCCACACUGGAACUGAGACACGGUCCAGACUCCUACGGGAGGCAGCAGUAGGGAAUCUUCCGCAAUGGGCGAAAGCCUGACGGAGCAACGCCGCGUGAGUGAUGAAGGUCUUCGGAUCGUAAAGCUCUGUUAUUGGGGAAGAACAUAUGUGUAAGUAACUGUGCACAUCUUGACGGUACCUAAUCAGAAAGCCACGGCUAACUACGUG
rnacentral:rRNA from 1 species